rnacentral:rRNA from 1 species
GGCGGCAGGCUUAACACAUGCAAGUCGAACGCCCUCUUUUGAGGGAGUGGCAGACGGGUGAGUAACGCGUGGGAAUCUACCUAGUGGUAAGGAACAACACAGAGAAAUUUGUGCUAAUACCUUAUACGCCCUCCGGGGAAAGAUUUAUCGCCAUUAGAUGGGCCCGCGUUUGAUUAGCUAGUUGGUGAGGUAAUGGCUCACCAAGGCGACGAUCAAUAGCUGGUCUGAGAGGAUGAUCAGCCACACUGGGACUGAGACACGGCCCAGACUCCUACGGGAGGCAGCAGUGGGGAAUAUUGGACAAUGGGCGCAAGCCUGAUCCAGCCAUGCCGCGUGUGUGAUGAAGGCCUUAGGGUUGUAAAGCACUUUC